rnacentral:lncRNA from 1 species
UUCUGGCUCCUUCGCUUAGCCUGAGGGUCUCUCGUUCAGCCCCGCGGCGGCAGAUGGCACUCGUUCUGCCGCUUUUUCCUGGCUGUGUGCGAUGCCAUCGCAUAGAUGUCCCCGGGUCUGCGAAGUGCACUCACCUGUCAGUGGACCUUUAGGUGGCUUCCAGAUCUUGGCUCUGCCCCGCGGCGGCAGAUGGCACUCGUUCUGCCGCUUUUUCCUGGCUGUGUGCGAUGCCAUCGCAUGGAUGUCCCCGGGCCUUCGAAGUGCACUCACCUGUCAGUGGACCUUUAGGUGGCUUCCAGAUCUUGGCUCUGGUGAGUAGUGCGGCGACAGACAGAGGGGUGCCCGGGUCUGCUUCCGGGAAAGUUUGGUCCCGGUGAAAUGGAGCUGUUUGGAGGCCGGCUUCGGUCUUUGUGUGGGCCGGCCCGUGUAGGGCUGCUUGGCUGAGACUCUGUCGAGGAGGGAGGCCUUCAGC